CUGUUUCACUAAUUGUUUCUCAACCACAACAGAGCAGCAAGGCUGAGAAAGCAUUUCCUGUCAAAACGCUGAAACUUUACCUCGGGGUGAAGAAAAAACUGAAGCCACCAACGAACUGGGGUCUAACACUGCUGUCUGAAAAGCAUAAUUGGUAUUUAUGUUGUGAUGGACAGAUUUCUCAGCUAGACUGGCUGAACAGCAUUUUUAUGGCUCAG